GACUAACGCUGGCGGCGUGCCUAAUACAUGCAAGUCGAGCGGAUCUUUAGGAGCUUGCUCCUGAAGAUUGGCGGCGGACGGGUGAGUAACACGUGGGCAACCUGCCUGUAAGACUGGGAUAACACCGGGAAACCGGUGCUAAUACCGGAUAAUUCUUUCCCUCACAUGAGGGGAAGCUGAAAGUCGGUUUUGGCUGACACUUACAGAUGGGCCCGCGGCGCAUUAGCUAGUUGGUGAGGUAACGGCUCACCAAGGCGACGAUGCGUAGCCGACCUGAGAGGGUGAUCGGCCACACUGGGACUGAGACACGGCCCAGACUCCUACGGGAGGCAGCAGUAGGGAAUCUUCCGCAAUGGACGAAAGUCUGACGGAGCAACGCCGCGUGAGUGAUGAAGGCCUUCGGGUCGUAAAACUCUGUUGUUAGGGAAGAACAAGUAUCGGAGUAACUGACGGUACCUUGACGGUACCUAACCAGAAAGCCACGGCUAACUACGUGCCAGCCGCCGCAGUAA
rnacentral:rRNA from 1 species